rnacentral:piRNA from 1 species
UGGUGGGUUCCACUCAGCCUAAACAUCA